GUUGCCGCCAAUUCGGCAACCGGGCUUGGCAGCCCGAAUCUCAAGGCGCACACAGCGCCGCACCGAAAGCCGGCGCUUUU
rnacentral:sRNA from 1 species